CUGUGAGUGCUGUUGGGACUCUGUACUCAGAUCCUCAGGUGCUUAAUUCUGGUAAAGCUGUCCCACCUGGCUUCCCAAGAAAAUUGGCUCUUCCUUUCUCAGCUCCUCUAAUUGUGGACUGGAGAAACUAAUUAUCCUGAAACAAGGAUUUGGAGUGCUGUGGGUGGCUUUCCUCUGCCUUGAAUGAGAGCAGGAUUGAACCUCUGUGACAGAUUAAAAAGGCUAUGUACUCAUUUGAACUAAAAUUACCCGGCUGCCAGCCUGCUUGAUAGCAAUUACAUCUAAAGAGAGAGAACCGCUGAACUUCAUGUAUUGGUGUCAGAGCAAGCUGAGGGAGGCAACAUGGGGCAUGGCCCCAACUGGGCCGUGGGCUGUGCUGCCCCACUGUGCCACCCCCUGUCCCACUGCAGGGCAGGGCUCCUCCACCAGCAGGGGACUGCAGAGACAAAAAGCCUCAAAUCCACCUCUCUACCCCUGUGAGCACUCAGCAAUAUGUGCAAUUUCAGUCAUUGCUGGCACUCGGCUCUUUUGUUGUUCGUUCUGCAAUUUUGAACUCCCUUAAAAAAGAGACACUUUCAGUUUGGUUCAGAUACAUAAUUCAUGCUGUGUCGAUAGAUUUGUUUCUCUUACAGCGUGCCAUCAAGUAACUAUCCCCAGAAAUGUUUGGUUCAAUUUUUUUUUUUUUUAAAUAAUGCCAGCAACAGAUUUUGGAUAUGUGUAGCUAUAUACAUACACAGUUAAUAUGAAAGUUGGGUCCACGAUUGCACUGGAUAUACACGCAUCUCAUAGUCACCAGUGCUUUAAAAAAGCCAGCACAAAGCUUUCUGUGACUGUAGCUUAUUAAAAAAAAAAAAUAACCCUUUACUGAUAAAAUAAUAAAUAAUGUAUCUAAAUAAAUAAAAAGCGAAAUACUUUUAUUCUUAUGUUGAUAAUGUCAAUCUGAUGAAAGAAUCUGGAGUCAGGUGUCGAUGAAACAGUGUUUUGAAUUCUCCUUCAGCAGUAUGGCAUUUCAAAAUGCCCAGUGUCAAGCCUCAAUAUUAUGAUAUAUGUUUCUUAUUUACUAUUACAGUUCUUAGAGCUUCUGUGCUUUGUUAUUUGAUACCUUGGCUGUUUGCUUAAACUCCGUAUGCAAAUGCAGAGCUCAAAUACAAAGCUGGAGUGUUAAGAUUAAAGAAGAACUAGGAUUCCAAGAUUAAAAAGUGAGAUGAAUGUUUC